rnacentral:rRNA from 1 species
CGGGAAUUCGAUUAGAGUUUGAUCAUGGGUCAGAACGAACGCUUUCGGUAUGCUUAACACAUGCAAGUCGAACGGAUUUAUUUAGAGCUUGCUUUAAAUAAAUUAGUGCCAGCCGGGUGAGUAACACGUGGGAAUCUGCCCAUCAGUACGGAAUAACAUUUAGAAAUAAUUGCUAAUACCGUAUAUUCUCUUUGGAGGAAAGAUUUAUCGGUGAUGGAUGAGCCCGCGCCAGAUUAGGUAGUUGGUAGGGUAAUGGCCUACCAAGCCAAUGAUCUGUAGGUGGUUUGAGAGAAUGAUCAGCCACACUGGGACUGAGACACGGCCCAGACUCCUACGGGAGGCACCAGUGGGGAAUAUUGGACAAUGGGCGAAAGCCUGAUCCAGCAAUACCGAGUGGGUGAUGAAGGCCUUAGGGUUGUAAAGCCCUUUUCAGCAGGGAAGAUAAUGACGGUCCCUGCCCAAGAAAGCCCAAUCACUAGUGAAUUCGCGGCCGGCUG